GCUGUGAUGGCCGAGCGGUCUAAGGCGUCUGAUUGCUAGUCAGAUGGGGUUUCCCCUCGUAGGUUCAAAUCCUGCUCGCAGCG
rnacentral:tRNA from 1 species